UACGUAGGUGGCAAGCGUUGUCCGGAAUUAUUGGGCGUAAAGCGCGCGCAGGCGGUCUCUUAAGUCUGAUGUGAAAGCCCCCGGCUCAACCGGGGAGGGUCAUUGGAAACUGGGAGACUUGAGUGUAGAAGAGAAGAGUGGAAUUCCACGUGUAGCGGUGAAAUGCGUAGAGAUGUGGAGGAACACCAGUGGCGAAGGCGGGUCUCUGGACAGUUCCUGACGCUGAGGCACGAAGGCCAGGGGAGCAAACGGG
rnacentral:rRNA from 1 species